rnacentral:rRNA from 1 species
AACGAACGCUGGCGGCAUGCCUAACACAUGCAAGUCGAACGAAGCCUUCGGGCUUAGUGGCGCACGGGUGCGUAACGCGUGGGAAUCUGCCCUGGGGUGCGGAAUAACUCGGAGAAAUCCGUGCUAAUACCGCAUAAUGUCUUCGGACCAAAGAUUUAUUGCCCUGGGAUGAGCCCGCGUAGGAUUAGCUAGUUGGUGAGGUAAAGGCUCACCAAGGCGACGAUCCUUAGCUGGUCUGAGAGGAUGAUCAGCCACACUGGGACUGAGACACGGCCCAGACUCCUACGGGAGGCAGCAGUGGGGAAUAUUGGACAAUGGGCGAAAGCCUGAUCCAGCAAUGCCGCGUGAGUGAUGAAGGCCUUAGGGUUGUAAAGCUCUUUUACCCGGGAUGAUAAUGACAGUACCGGGAGAAUAAGCUCCGGCUAACUCCGUG